rnacentral:tRNA from 1 species
GCCAUGGAGAGCACGGGAAACCUCCGCUCUCCUAAAGCGGGUGUCGCUGGUUCGAAUCCAGCUGGGGGCA